rnacentral:rRNA from 1 species
UACGUAGGGUGCAAGCGUUGUCCGGAAUUACUGGGCGUAAAGAGCUCGUAGGUGGUUUUGUCGCGUUGUUCGUGAAAACUCACAGCUUAACUGUGGGCGUGCGGGCGAUACGGGGCAGACUUGAGUACUGCAGGGGGAGACUGGAAUUCCUGGUGUAGCGGUGGAAUGCGCAGAUAUCAGGAGGAACACCGGUGGCGAAGGCGGGUCUCUGGGCAGU